UACAGAGGGGGCAAGCGUUGUUCGGAAUUACUGGGCGUAAAGGGCGCGUAGGCGGCCUGUUAAGUCGAACGUGAAAUCCCCGGGCUCAACCCGGGAACUGCGUCCGAUACUGGCAGGCUUGAAUUCGGGAGAGGGAUGUGGAAUUCCAGGUGUAGCGGUGAAAUGCGUAGAUAUGUGGAGGAACACCAGUGGCGAAGGCGACUCUUUGGCCUGUAACUGACACUGAGGCGCGAAAGCGUGGGGAGCAAACAGG
rnacentral:rRNA from 1 species